AUCACGUUGUCAGUGUAAAUAUUAUCCCUAGCCCUGAUGAGCCUGGUGAGCAGAUCCACGCCAACCUCCCCCUGUCACAGCAGGUGGUCAACGAGAGCCGCCUCUCCAUGUCGGAAUCCGUGUCAGAGUUCUUCGAUGCCCAAGAGGUGCUCCUGUCUGCGAGUUCAUCGGAGAAUGAGAUCCUUCCAGCAGCCAAAGGAGUGAUCCCUGGAGUUGUCAGUUUGCUAAAGACACCGUAUUGUCUCUUGUUAUAACAAAGAGAAGUAGUCUUUCAAGUGACCCACACUGGAAAGAACUGGACUGCGUACCUCCCCUUGUGCCCUGUGUUUUAGAGGUUUUCAGAAAAACAACUGCUUUAGUCCCAUCUUCUUCCUUUACCACAAUACUCAGAACUAGGCCAAGAAAUAAACUCAAAUGAUAGUCACCAUCA
rnacentral:lncRNA from 1 species